rnacentral:miRNA from 1 species
UCACCAGGUGAGAUUCAUCCAU